CACAGAGCUCAGGCGCACACCUGCUGCAGAGUAGAAAGUUCACACGUGGUGGUGAUGAGGUGGCGGCGGCGGUGAUGGUUAUGAAAUCAUGAUAGGAUGGUGGUGGCAGUGGCAGUAUCACAGCUAACUUUUCAGUGAGUGUCUGCAGCGACACAAUUAAGUGAAUUAACACGUGCAGUUCUUUGGGAGGAAGCUCUCCCACCUUCAGGCACAGGGGUGGUCACCUGGCUCCAGAGCCAGCUCGUCCCAGAGCUGUCAUGGAUAGGAAUUGUGAAGGAUGUGUGCGCUGGGGCUGCGUGUGUGUGUGUGUGUGGCCUGUGUGUGUGUCUGUGUGUCUGUGUACGUGUGUGCCUGUGUGGCGUGCCUCCGCGUUUGUAUGUGUGCCUGUGUGUGUGUGCGCCUCUGUGCGCAUGCCUCUGUGUGUGCGCGCCUCUGUGUGUGCGCACGCGUGCGUGUGUGUCUGUGUGUGUGUGGCUGGGUGCUGCCCCCAGUCCCUGGGGCGGGCAGAUGGACGGACGGACAGUCUUGACCGCCGCUUGUCCCCCAGGUCUACGACGUUCCUCCAUCAGUGAGCAAGGAUGUGCCUGACGGCCCACUGCUGCGUGAGGAGACCUACGACGUGCCCCCUGCCUUCGCCAAGGCCAAGCCCUUUGACCCGGCCCGCACCCCACUGGUCCUGGCUGCGCCCCCUCCAGACUCCCCGCCAGCCGAGGAUGUGUAUGACGUGCCUCCCCCGGCUCCUGACCUCUACGACGUGCCCCCUGGCUUGCGGCGGCCUGGCCCAGGCACCCUGUACGAUGUGCCCCGUGAACGGCUGCUUCCUCCUGAGGUGGCUGAUGGUGGCGUGGUCGACAGUGGUGUGUAUGCGGUGCCUCCCCCAGCUGAACGUGAAGCCCCGGUGGAGGGCAAGCGCCUGUCGGCCUCCAGCACCGGCAGCACACGCAGCAGCCAGUCCGCGUCCUCCUUGGAGGUGGCAGGGCCGGGCCGGGAACCCCUGGAGCUGGAAGUUGCCGUGGAGGCCCUGGCACGGCUGCAGCAGGGUGUGAGCGCCACCGUUGCCCACCUUCUGGACCUGGCAGGCAGCGCCGGUGGGACUGGGAGCUGGCGUAGCCCUUCUGAGCCACAGGAGCUGCUGGUGCAGGACCUGCAGGCUGCUGUGGCCGCCGUCCAGGGUGCCGUCCAAGAGCUGUUAGAGUUUGCCCGCAGCGCCGUGGGCAAUGCUGCCCACACAUCUGACCGUGCCCUGCACGCCAAGCUUAGCCGGCAACUGCAGAAGAUGGAGGACGUGCACCAGACGCUGGUGGCACAUGGUCAGGCCCUCGACGCUGGCCGGGGAGGCUCUGGAGCCACCCCUGAGGACCUGGACCGGCUGGUGGCCUGCUCGCGGGCUGUGCCCGAGGACGCCAAGCAGCUGGCCUCCUUCCUGCACGGCAAUGCCUCAUUGCUCUUCAGACGGACGAAGGCCCCUGCCCCGGGGCCUGAGGGGGGUGGCACCCUGCAUCCCAACCCCACUGACAAGACCAGCAGCAUCCAGUCACGGCCCCUGCCCUCACCCCCUAAGUUCACCUCCCAGGACUCGCCAGAUGGGCAGUACGAGAACAGCGAGGGGGGCUGGAUGGAGGACUAUGACUACGUCCACCUGCAGGGGAAGGAGGAGUUUGAGAAGACCCAGAAGGAGCUGCUGGAAAAGGGCAGCAUCACGCGGCAGGGCAAGAGCCAGCUGGAGCUGCAGCAGCUGAAGCAGUUUGAACGACUGGAACAGGAGGUGUCGCGGCCCAUAGACCACGACCUGGCCAACUGGACACCAGCCCAACCCCUGGCUCCGGGGCGAACAGGCAGCCUGGGGCCCUCGGACCGGCAGCUGCUGCUCUUCUACCUAGAGCAGUGUGAGGCCAACCUGACCACACUGACCAAUGCCGUGGACGCCUUCUUCACCGCCGUGGCCACCAACCAGCCGCCCAAGAUCUUCGUGGCACACAGCAAGUUCGUCAUCCUCAGCGCCCACAAGCUGGUGUUCAUCGGGGACACACUGUCACGGCAGGCCAAGGCUGCUGACGUGCGCAGCCAGGUGACCCACUACAGCAACCUGCUGUGCGACCUCCUGCGCGGCAUCGUGGCCACCACCAAGGCUGCUGCCUUGCAGUACCCAUCGCCUUCCGCUGCCCAGGACAUGGUGGAGAGGGUCAAGGAGCUGGGCCACAGCACCCAGCAGUUCCGCCGCGUCCUAGGCCAGCUGGCAGCCGCCUGAGGGUGGUGACCCCAGGAGGGAGGCAAGGGAGGGGCGCGGUGGUCCCAGCUCCCUGGCUCCCAUCUCAAGAGUCGCUGUGCCACAGGCUUAGGGACAGGACCCCAGCUCUGCCUCGGUCCUGGUGCCCUGGAUGCCCAGGAAUCUGUAUAUAUUUAUGGCCGGGCAGGGUGUGGGGCCAUGCCUCCUCAGGAGCCGAAGUCCAAGGGCCGGCCAGUGGCCUUCCCCAGCAUGCACCACGGGCCCGGGGUGGGUCACCAGGCAGGGGGCUGGCGUGUGAGGGCCCCACAGCCUGCAGGACCUCGUGCUGCCCCGAGGGCUGAGCCUGGCCCCACGAGGGUGCCAUGUCCCCUGACAGGGCCAGUGCAGUUUGGUGUGUCCUCCGCCUUACCAGGAGAAGAACGUGAAGAACUAUUUUUCAUUAUUGGUUUUCCAAUCAUUUGACUAAUAGUCUCCAUUUAAAUAAAGUUUUUAAAAUG
rnacentral:sRNA from 1 species